rnacentral:tRNA from 1 species
AGGGAUUUAGCUUAGUGGCCUAAGCGCUUGCCUGGCGAGCAUGAGGUCAUGUGUUUGAUCCCUG